ACAAGCCAAGUCAGGGGAUUUGUCACGAGAUUUGGAGGAGUGACCCCCUCAGCCCUCCAGGGGAUUUGCCUGAACCGCAAAGCCCAGAAAAGGGGCGCCCUGCCUGCAAUUCCGAGAGGUUUUCUGUAAUAACUGCCACCCGCUGGGCGGGGCCUGGCUGCAGGCAGCAAGUCGUUACCGAAAGAACCCUUAUCGAAGGGCGUCUGGAGAACCACAUCCGCCCACCCCAGCCUCCCGGGGGUGGGCUGUUCCGGGCUGUGAAGCCCUGGGCUGGGGCAGGGAAGGGCCGUGCUGUCGGGACUUCGGGGUGCGCUGGGGUUACAGCUUUAGGGACGCCGGAUCCCCGACGCGCCACCUCCACUCCUGCAGUGAGACCCCCGCCGCCCUGCCGCCCCGGCUUUUGCCCGGUUGGGUCUUGGACACACGGCGGGGCAGUCAAGAGUCGAGUUUCUCCGUCCGCAGCAAGAUUGCCUGGUGCUGCAGUCAAGCGUUGCGAAGAGCCGUCCCGGUGGCUUCCCUGCCUCCCCCUAGCGGGGAUGGAGCCGGCGGAGCUCCUCCCGGAGCGGGCAACCGCCACCCGGCCGGACCCGGAAAGAAGUGGUGGUGGAGGGGGUCCGGCGCUCACUACCUCUGGGUCAGUUCCUAACUGAGCACCUACUACGUGCCGAGCGCAGUGCCGGGUGCUGGGGAUGCAGCAGGGAAUAUGGCCCUGCCUUCAGGGAGCUUGCAUCUGGGUGCGGGUCGGGGUGGGGGGGCUAAUGUGAAUACGAACUAUUUUACGUUUUACAUAGAAAAGUUAGAUAAAGCCUUUUUAAGAACCCAGUGAAUGUGCAGGAAGAGCUAGAAAGCGCCAUGAGGAAGAAUGUUAUGGUAACAGACCAAACCCACCUCCUGGAGUCUUCUAGAAGGAAGGAGAAAGGGGAACCCGGAAGAAGAGGUACUGGAGGCGAGAAAGGAGAGGCAGGCCAGGCAGAUCAUAACGAGCUGGGCAGAUAGUUUAGCUUUUAUUUUAAGAGCUUUUAUUUCCUUAACGUGGAAAACGUUAAGGCAGGGAGAACACAAAAGGAUGCUUCUGGCUGCCUUAGGGAAGGUGCAAGAGGAAGCAGGACUCUGUUAGGAGGACAUGGCAGUGGUCCAGGCAGGGUGAGGAUGCUUUGGGCCGGGGCAGCGGGCACGGCUGGAUUUCAGCUCUCAUUCCUCCUCACCCCCAGCAGGGCGCUCUUGUGCAGUGAACAACUGCCCAGCUCUGGGCUUAGGCCCAGCAACCUGGGCCAGCACUGCAAAGACUUUGCUAUCACCCAGCCCCGCAGGAAAGAAGAGGGGUAGGCCGGAGAGAGGAGCCCCGGACCCUGCCCGCCCCAGGGCCCAGAGCCUCCCAGUGUAGCCCACCACGCCUACCGGAAAGGCUCUCAGGAUUGGAAAGGGGCGGGGGCACCACUCUGAACCGGAAUGAUCUGGUUUAGAGCGGCUGGCUUUUCGUCCUCCCUCUCCUUCCGCGACAGGCUGGUUUUUGCCGCAGUCCCUGACCAAGCCUUCCCUCCCCUGGGGAAAAGCGUGCCCAUCUGACACCUGGCCUGCCUGCUCCCGGUGACGCAUUCACCUGUCCUUGCCGCUGCCCCUGCUCUGUGCAGUCCCCACACGGCACUCCCCAGCCUGCGGCCUCCUGCUGCAACCUCCGCCAGGAUGACUGUGUGCCCAUCCCUCACUCUGGUAUUGUUGGCCCUACCUACAAGCAGAGGAGUGCUGUCACUGAAGCCACCUGGACGGAAGGGUGGGCCAGCUAGCCUCUCCUGGCCCCUCACAGUGGACCCUGCAAGAUCUGGGACAAUGUGCUGCUGGUAAGUUUAACGGCCUCACCUCAGGUCACUAAGGAAGACCCCCAAGAGUACCGGGAAUUGGUUGUGUAUUUUCCUAAUGCCUACACAUUUUAGGCAAUGUCCCUGCUGCAGCUCUUCAGGCCUGGGAAUGUUUCCUCCUCCUUAGGCCUAGACACAAAAGGAAAGUCAGUGCGCCUGGCUGCUCAAAAGGUGUCCUUUGACAAGAACUCAAGCCUUUCCCAAAAGGUAGCUUUAGCCAUCAUCAAAGUCUUCCUGAACAGUAGCACAGCUCAGACUAGUAAAAAACUCAUGUCUUUCAUGAAGAUGAGACAAGCUAUGAGUACCCAUCCUUAGAGACUAAAAGUCACUUCUGAAUUCAUUCAUAUGGCGGCUGAGUGCCAAAAAAGGGGCACAGAUCUAAUCACCCUGGAGGAGAAAUGACUGCCAGCUGCAGUGGUCAGGAUCAGCUCCAAAAAAUAGCGGGUUUAAUUAAAGCAGAGUCUCAAGGGAAGGGUAGACUGUAGAGGGGGAGGGGACAUCCCCAGGGAGUGAUCAGGAUGGGCAGGAGAUACAUGCAGACAGCCCAGCAAGGAGCAGCCUACAAUGGCUGAAGCCAAGGAUUCAGGUGGAUAAGGCUAGCUUGGGGCCAGAUUAUGAAGGGUUUUAAAUGUCAGGCCAAGGAAUUUAUCAGGAGAAUGAAAUGAUCAAACAAGUGUUUUAGGAAGAUGAAUUUCAAGAGAGUGUGCAGGAUGAAUUGGAAAAUCUGGAAGCAUGGCAACAAUUAGGAAGCUGUGAGAUUAAUUAGGCUGUUGUAGUAGUCCUGUGUGAGUUGAUAAGGGUGUAAAUGAGCAUAGUGCCAGCAGAAAUGGAAAGGGACAGCUGCAAGAGACAUUGUUAAGAAAGAAUGGAUGAGAUUGCUGCCUGAUUGGAUUGGGGACCCAGGGAGCUCAAGGAGUCAAGAUGACAGCAGUUUUGAGUGUGGGCGACUGGUAGUACAAUGAACAGAAAAAGGGAUGUUAGAGAGGGAGCUGUUUCAGCAGAUGUGAAUUCAGUUCCACACAUGGAGAAUGUGCAUGAUAUCCAAGUGGAAAUGUCUGACAGGUCACAGGAAAUUUAACACUAGAGCUCAGGAGAGACAGUAUGGUUGGUGAUGAACUUGGGAAUCAAAUGCAGAGGUGAUAAAUGAAGUCACAGAAUGAAUGAGAUCUCUAAGGAAAAGCAUAAGCCGUGAGACAGAGGACCAAAGCAUGACCUUUGAGGAAUGCCCGCAUUCAAAGGAUUUAUAAUCACAAAGCUGAGUUUAGAAAUGCCACCUACAUGCUGCAUGUCUUCACCACUAAAUAGCAGUUUAAAGUGUAUAUCUGAGAAAGUCAAGCAACACAGCAUUUUUAUGUUAUAGUAGGAACCAAAUUAUAAACAUGCCUCUAAACAAAUCUGGCUGAAGAAAAGGCUGAUAUUCAUAGAGAAAAAAAGAAUAAGUGAUACAGUGAACAUAAUCUAGAAGAUUAGUGGAUUUGAUCCCACAAGGAUGAGUCAAGCAAAGAAAAUAAAAACUUGUGAGAAAUAUUUACUAAUUUUAACACAAGGACCAAAAAAUUUACCAUGUUUGCAGUGCACUGUCUUCCUGAAGUAUGAAUUCAAAUUCAUCAAAGUAUUUUUAAUAAAAGCUAUAGUAAGUAUAGGCUGGCUCAAACAUUUGUGAAGACAAGUUAAUAAAUGAAAGCUACCCAGAGUAUAGUAACCCACACCACCCUUAGUAUGCAAACAAAAUAUCUUUUCUUUUUAAUGUGUACCUCUAGUCUUUUUACGUGAAAUAUUUACUGUAUAUUGCAUUUCUGACAC